GAACGCUAGCUACAGGCUUAACACAUGCAAGUCGAGGGGCAGCAUUUCAGUUUGCUUGCAAACUGGAGAUGGCGACCGGCGCACGGGUGAGUAACACGUAUCCAACCUGCCGAUAACUCGGGGAUAGCCUUUCGAAAGAAAGAUUAAUACCCGAUGGUAUAAUCAGACCGCAUGGUCUUGUUAUUAAAGAAUUUCGGUUAUCGAUGGGGAUGCGUUCCAUUAGGCAGUUGGUGAGGUAACGGCUCACCAAACCUUCGAUGGAUAGGGGUUCUGAGAGGAAGGUCCCCCACAUUGGAACUGAGACACGGUCCAAACUCCUACGGGAGGCAGCAGUGAGGAAUAUUGGUCAAUGGGCGCAGGCCUGAACCAGCCAAGUAGCGUGAAGGAUGACUGCCCUAUGGGUUGUAAACUUCUUUUAUAUGGGAAUAAAGUUUUCCACGUGUGGAAUUUUGUAUGUACCAUAUGAAUAAGGAUCGGCUAACUCCGUGCCAGCAGCCGCGGUAAUACGGAGGAUCCGAGCGUUAUCCGGAUUUAUUGGGUUUAAAGGGAGCGUAGGUGGACAGUUAAGUCAGUUGUGAAAGUUUGCGGCUCAACCGUAAAAUUGCAGUUGAUACUGGCUGUCUUGAGUACAGUAGAGGUGGGCGGAAUUCGUGGUGUAGCGGUGAAAUGCUUAGAUAUCACGAAGAACUCCGAUUGCGAAGGCAGCUCACUGGACUGCAACUGACACUGAUGCUCGAAAGUGUGGGUAUCAAACAGGAUUAGAUACCCUGGUAGUCCACACAGUAAACGAUGAAUACUCGCUGUUUGCGAUAUACAGUAAGCGGCCAAGCGAAAGCAUUAAGUAUUCCACCUGGGGAGUACGCCGGCAACGGUGAAACUCAAAGGAAUUGACGGGGGCCCGCACAAGCGGAGGAACAUGUGGUUUAAUUCGAUGAUACGCGAGGAACCUUACCCGGGCUUAAAUCGCAUUUGAAUAUAUUGGAAACAGUAUAGCCGUAAGGCAAAUGUGAAGGUGCUGCAUGGUUGUCGUCAGCUCGUGCCGUGAGGUGUCGGCUUAAGUGCCAUAACGAGCGCAACCCUUAUCUUUAGUUACUAACAGGUCAUGCUGAGGACUCUAGAGAGACUGCCGUCGUAAGAUGUGAGGAAGGUGGGGAUGACGUCAAAUCAGCACGGCCCUUACGUCCGGGGCUACACACGUGUUACAAUGGGGGGUACAGAAGGCAGCUACCUGGUGACAGGAUGCUAAUCCCAAAAGCCUCUCUCAGUUCGGAUCGAAGUCUGCAACCCGACUUCGUGAAGCUGGAUUCGCUAGUAAUCGCGCAUCAGCCAUGGCGCGGUGAAUACGUUCCCGGGCCUUGUACACACCGCCCGUCAAGCCAUGAAAGCCGGGGGUACCUGAAGUACGUAACCGCAAGGAGCGUCCUAGGGUAAAACUGGUAAUUGGGGCUAAG
rnacentral:rRNA from 1 species